UACAGAGGGGGCAAGCGUUGUUCGGAAUUACUGGGCGUAAAGCGUGCGCAGGCGGCUUUGCAAGACAGAUGUGAAAUCCCCCGGGCUUAACCUGGGAACUGCAUUUGUGACUGCAAGGCUGGAGUGCGGCAGAGGGGGAUGGAAUUCCGCGUGUAGCAGUGAAAUGCGUAGAUAUGCGGAGGAACACCGAUGGCGAAGGCAAUCCCCUGGGCCUGCACUGACGCUCAUGCACGAAAGCGUGGGGAGCAAACAGG
rnacentral:rRNA from 1 species